rnacentral:siRNA from 1 species
CGGUUGACAUCUACGAGCACGGC